AUGUUAGAAAUACACAUCUCAUAAUUGGCAACCCCCCAUACUAGCACUAGAUAUAGUUUGGCAUUUAGAAGUUUUAGCUGCAGCCAAAGAUCUAAAGUUUUUCAUAAAAUGCCCAUAAU